GAUGAACGCUGGCGGCGUGCUUAACACAUGCAAGUCGAACGAAGCAUUUCGGUCUUAAUCUUCGGAAGCGGACUGACCUGACUGAGUGGCGGACGGGUGAGUAACGCGUGGGUAACCUGCCCUGUACAGGGGGAUAACAGUUAGAAAUGACUGCUAACACCGCAUAAGCGCACAGAAAGGCAUCUUUCGGUGUGAAAAUAUUUAUAGGUACAGGAUGGGCCCGCGUCUGAUUAGCCAGUUGGCAGGGUAACGGCCUACCAAAGCAACGAUCAGUAGCCGGCUUGAGAGAGUGAACGGCCACAUUGGGACUGAGACACGGCCCAAACUCCUACGGGAGGCAGCAGUGGGGAAUAUUGCACAAUGGGGGAAACCCUGAUGCAGCGACGCCGCGUGAGUGAAGAAGUAUUUCGGUAUGUAAAGCUCUAUCAGCAGGGAAGAAAAUGACGGUACCUGACUAAGAAGCCCCGGCUAACUACGUGCCAGCCGCCGCGGUAA
rnacentral:rRNA from 1 species